rnacentral:rRNA from 1 species
CACGUAGGGGGGCAAGCGUUGUCCGGAUUUAUUGGGCGUAAAGAGCUCGUAGGUGGUUCGGUAAGUCGGGUGUGAAACCUCCAGGCUCAACCUGGAGACGCCACCUGAUACUGCUGUGACUGGAGUCCGGUAGGGGAGCGUGGAAUUCCUGGUGUAGCGGUGAAAUGCGCAGAUAUCAGGAGGAACACCAGCGGCGAAGGCGGCGCUCUGGGCCGUAACUGACGCUGAGGAGCGAAAGCAUGGGGAGCGAACAGG